rnacentral:rRNA from 1 species
UACGUAGGAGGCGAGCGUUGUCCGGAGUUACUGGGCGUAAAGGGCGCGUAGGUGGUGGCUUAAGCGUGCGGUGAAAGCUCGGGGCUCAACCCCGAGUCGGCCGUGCGAACUGGGCUCACUGGAGCAUAGUAGAGGCAGGUGGAAUUCCGGGUGUAGCGGUGGAAUGCGUAGAGAUCCGGAAGAACACCGGUGGCGAAGGCGGCCUGCUGGGCUAUGGCUGACACUGAGGCGCGACAGCGUGGGGAGCAAACAGG